UCACCUCUCAUUUUUGUGAUUUUUGCAAUUUAAAUUAAACAAUUAAUUGCAUAGUCACAAAAGUGAUGGGUGC
rfam:Daphnia pulex DAPPTscaffold_3_Cont230, whole genome shotgun sequence.